GAUUAUGGCUCAGGAUGAACGCUGGCGGCGUGCCUAAUACAUGCAAGUCGAACGCAUCACUUCGGUGAUGAGUGGCGAACGGGUGAGUAAUACAUAAGUAACCUGGCCCAUACAGGGGGAUAACUGCUGGAAACGGCAGCUAAGACCGCAUAUGUGUAGAGAUCGCAUGAACUCUAUAUGAAAAGUGCUACGGCACUGGUAAGGGAUGGACUUAUGGCGCAUUAG
rnacentral:rRNA from 1 species